GCCAAGUCAAAAAGUAAAGAAUAACUCGAAGGAAGGAGUGGAUGGCAAGAAAUACAGGGAAAGCAAUGCAUAGCACAGCAAAGCAAAGCAAGGCAAAAUAGCAGCCAAAGCCACGAGAAUCAAGAAGUCAGUGAAGAGCAGGAAAGGAAUGGAGGAAUCUGGCCAGAGCUGUGCCCCUGCUUGCCACAGGAGCUGCGCGGGAGGAGAAGAAUGUGGGCCAAAAGGAAUGGAGGAAUCUGGCCAGAGCUGUGCCCCUGCUUGCCACAGGAGCUGCGCGGGAGGAGAAGAAUGUGGGCCAAAAGGUAAGAGGAGCUCCUUUGGGUUCUGGGCUUGAAGCAAAGCUGAGAAGCCAUGCCCGGGAGGAGGUGUGGGUAGCUACAGGCCACCUUGCUAUCUCCCCAAGAGAUGAGGUGUGUGGGCUAGGCACCGGGCAGGAGUGCUGGCCAGAAGCAAGCAUCUCUGUGGAGGAGGCAAAGGGCGGAGGAGGUUCAAGGGUAGCUACCGGGCAUGGCCUUGCUCAGCAAGGGGAGGAAAAGCCUGAAGGGCACGAGAAGGGGACAGAGAAGGGCAGGCAGUAGGCGUGAAGCUGUGAGCAGAGUAGAGAGCAACUUGGCAGAGCAGCAAGCAGAGUAGGCAAGUGCUGAGGUUUGGCGUGAGUAGCAGCAAAAGCCCAUAGCAUCAAGAAGCAGGAAGUGAGGAGAAGGUAAGUGAAGGGCAGGCAAGGUAAUGGGAGGCAAAGGCAAGGGGAAAGGGGAGGGUAAGGGAGAAAGAGGGGAUGGGGAGGGGAGGGGAUGGGUGAAGAGCAGAGCGGAGGGAAGGGCUGAGGGGAGGGCUGAAGGCAAACCAAUGAUGAAAAAAGAAAAGAAAAAAUAAGCACAAAAAAUAUGAAAUAAGAGAAAAAAGAAAAGAAAAAUAAGAAAAAGAGAAAAAAGAAAAGAAAAAAAAUGAACAAAAAAGAAAAAAGAGAAAAAAAGAACAAAAAAGAAAAAAGAGAAAAGAAAAAAAAAUGAACAAAAAAGAGAAAAAAGAGAAAAGAAAAAAAAAUGAACAAAAAAGAGAAAAAGGAGAAAAGAAAAAAAUGAACAAAAAAGAGAAAAAAGAGAAAAGCUAAAAAAAGAAAAAAGAUAAAGAAAAAAGAAAAAAGAGAAAAUAGAAAUAAAAAAGAGGACAGAAAAAUAUGAAAAAAAGAAAAAAGAAAAAAAGAAAAGAAAAAAAAUAGAUGAAAAAAGAAAAACGAAAGGAAAAACGGAUAAUGACAAGAGAAGAAAGGUAAAGAGAAAAGAAGAAAACAGCCAAGUCAAAAAGUAAAGAAUAACUCGAAGGAAGGAGUGGAUGGCAAGAAAUACAGGGAAAGCAAUGCAUAGCACAGCAAAGCAAAGCAAGGCAAAAUAGCAGCCAAAGCCACGAGAAUCAAGAAGUCAGUGAAGAGCAGGAAAGGUAAGUUUCCCUUAAAGCAAGGGGGAAUGGUAGUGGAUGGGGGCAAAAGAGAGGGGAGGGGAGGGGAGGGAGGG
rnacentral:lncRNA from 7 species